ACGGUUACCUUGUUACGACUUCACCCCAGUCAUCUGCCCUGCCUUAGACGGCUCCUUCCACAUAAGUGGUUAGGCCACCGGCUUCGGGCAUUGCAGACUUCCAUGGUGUGACGGGCGGUGUGUACAAGGCCCGGGAACGUAUUCACCGCGGCGUGCUGAUCCGCGAUUACUAGCGAUUCCAGCUUCGUGCAGUCGAGUUGCAGACUGCAGUCCGAACUGAGAACAGCUUUAAGAGAUCCGCUUGCCUUCGCAGGCUCGCUUCUCGUUGUACUGCCCAUUGUAGCACGUGUGUAGCCCAGGUCAUAAGGGGCAUGAUGACUUGACGUCAUCCCCACCUUCCUCCGGUUUGUCACCGGCAGUCUCAUUACAGUGCCCAACUUAAUGCUGGCAACUAAUAACAAGGGUUGCGCUCGUUGCGGGACUUAACCCAACAUCUCACGACACGAGCUGACGACAGCCAUGCACCACCUGUCUUAGUGUCCCCGAAAGGAACUCCUAAUCACUCACGAUGGCA
rnacentral:rRNA from 1 species